AACGAACGCUGGCGGCAUGCCUAACACAUGCAAGUCGAACGAAGGCUUCGGCCUUAGUGGCGCACGGGUGCGUAACGCGUGGGAACCUGCCCCUCGGUUCGGAAUAACAGUUAGAAAUGACUGCUAAUACCGGAUGAUGACUUCGGUCCAAAGAUUUAUCGCCGAGGGAUGGGCCCGCGUAGGAUUAGCUAGUUGGUGGGGUAAAGGCCUACCAAGGCGACGAUCCUUAGCUGGUCUGAGAGGAUGAUCAGCCACACUGGGACUGAGACACGGCCCAGACUCCUACGGGAGGCAGCAGUGGGGAAUAUUGGACAAUGGGGGCAACCCUGAUCCAGCCAUGCCGCGUGUGUGAAGAAGGCCUCGGGUUGUAAGUACGACUUAAGUACGAGGAGGAAGGUUUU
rnacentral:rRNA from 1 species